GCGUGUACCAAUUGAAGUAUUUUGAGGUAUCUCUUUUUGAACAGAACUAAAUGAAAAAAAAAAGAUUGGAAGAAGGGAAAUUUUCUCAAUACAGGGAGUUAGUGAACCAUCCUGGAGCGGACUGAUUAACUGCGAUCCAAACAACAGGCUGGUCACCAUGACGAAUUGGAGCAAAAGGUAUUUUCCGAGUAUUACUGCAAUCUGAGAAUCCAGGGAACAUCUUUCUAGCUAUUCAGGUACAUAGCUAAGAUUAUAAUCGACAAAUGGCUUGUUAUGAACGGUUUACAUUAUAACCAGAGAAGGCCUUGUUAUGACCGGUUUACAUUAUAACCGGAGAAGGCCUUGUUAUGACCGGUUUACAUUAUAACCGAAGAAGGCCCAGUUAAAUCAAGCUGGCCCAGUUAUCUUAUAGUAUUAGGGGCUUAGCCCAAUUUAUUAUAUUUGCUAGCCUAGAGAGAUUAUAUAUACCCAUGUAAAGGACACCGUUUGAGGUUAAGCAGAAUCAAUCUAUUUGAUCGGCUCCUAGCAGGAGACGGCGCCCUAAACCCUAGCCGCCCCAACUCCUCCCUCUCACGGAUCACGGCGCCCCGCCGCCCGCGGUCAACGCCUCGCCAUCCACUCUUCGACCCCUACAACCUGCGACCUAGGCCUGGUAGGGACUUGGUUCCUAUCAACUUGGUAUCGGCUAGCUCAGGCUCGACCAUGUUUGCACCGACGCCCACUCCCAGCCUUCCGCCGCCCACCA
rnacentral:lncRNA from 1 species